GACAGAGAUUGCCUGAUCCAUUCCACCAGAUUGAGUACCAAUGUGUCGUUCACAAUCACAGGUAAGUUGGGCAAUCUCUUUCUUGGGAAAGUUGGCACCAAGAGCAGCCAUGAUAGCAAUGGUAGAAGAGCAAACAAAUGCAGCAGAGCUCGAUAAUCCAGAUCCUGUAGGCACUGUUCCAUCAACAAGAACGUCAAGUCCAACUGGCACGCCAACAUCUUGUCCUUUUGAUUUAGCAAACUCGUAAUAGCCUUUGUACCCGCAGAGGAAAUAGUGUCCCCAUUUGUGAUUCUUCAAGUCAACUUCCUGAUCAGGAUCAGCAGGAUAAGUACAUAUCGAGUAUUUAUCAUUAACAUUAGCAAUUUUGAGAAGAUGAUUCGCCUCUCCGGCGUCAUGCUUCCGUAUUGCCACGAUCGUAUCUUGCCGAAUCGCCAUCGGCAACACCGAAUAUCCUUCAUAGUCAAUGUGCUCUCCAAUCAAGUUCACUCUCCCUGGUGAACGAGCAAAGACAUCGGGAGGAUGGCCGAAGACUUGAAGAAACUUGGCCUUGAGAUGAUCAAAUCGAAGCUGAGCUUCUUCAAGCUGCGAUCCAUCGCCAUAAACCGGGUCGAGAGAAGAGAAAACAGGGAUCGGAAGGUCCUCGUGCUUCGCCAUUACUCCUCUUCUUCUACUUCUUACUCAGAAUUAGAAAGCUUUUCCGAUCUCGAAUUCUGGCUGAAAUUUCGGCUAACCCUUAAACUAAUCUGACAACGAAGAGAGAAUUUUCUUAAUAUUAUUAUUAUUUUUGGAGU
rnacentral:misc_RNA from 1 species